rnacentral:misc_RNA from 1 species
GAUGAAGAACGUAGCGAAAUGCGAUAACUAAUGUGAAUUGCAGAAUUCAGUGAAUCAUCGAGUCUUUGAACGCACAUUGCGCCCCCUGGUAUUCCGGGGGGCAUGCCUGUCCGAGCGUCAUUGCUGCCCUCAAGCACGGCUUGUGUGUUGGGCUCCGUCCCCCCGGGGAUGGGCCCGAAAGGCAGCGGCGGCACCGAGUCCGGUCCUCGAGCGUAUGGGGCUUUGUCACCCGCUCUGUAGGCCCGGCCGGCGCCAGCCGACAACCCAUCAUCCUUUUCAGGUUGACCUCGGAUCAGGUAGGGAUACCCGCUGAACUUAAGCAUAUCAAUAAGCGGAGGA